CCUACGGGUUGCAGCAGUGGGGAAUAUUGCACAAUGGGCGCAAGCCUGAUGCAGCCAUGCCGCGUGUAUGAAGAAGGCCCUAGGGUUGUAAAGUACUUUCAGUCGGGAGGAAGGCGUUGAUGCUAAUAUCAUCAACGAUUGACGUUACCGACAGAAGAAGCACCGGCUAACUCCGUGCCAGCAGCCGCGGUAAUACGGAGGGUGCACGCGUUAAUCGGAAUUACUGGGCGUAAAGCGCACGCAGGCGGUUGAUUAAGUUAGAUGUGAAAGCCCCGGGCUUAACCUGGGAAUGGCAUCUAAGACUGGUCAGCUAGAGUCUUGUAGAGGGGGGUGGAAUUCCAUGUGUAGCGGUGAAAUGCGUAGAGGUGUGGAGGAAUACCGGUGGCGAGGGCGGCCCCCUGGACAAAGACUGACGCUCAGGUGCGAAAGCGUGGGGAGCAAACAGGAUUAGAUACCCCAGUAGUC
rnacentral:rRNA from 1 species